GAUGAACGCUAGCUACAGGCUUAACACAUGCAAGUCGAGGGGCAGCAUGGUCUUAGCUUGCUAAGGCCGAUGGCGACCGGCGCACGGGUGAGUAACGCGUAUCCAACCUGCCUUACACUCUUGGACAGCCUUCUGAAAGGGAGAUUAAUACAAGAUGUUAUCAUGAGUAAGCAUUUUCGCAUGAUUAAAGGUUUACCGGUGUAAGAUGGGGAUGCGUUCCAUUAGAUAGUAGGCGGGGUAACGGCCCACCUAGUCUUCGAUGGAUAGGGGUUCUGAGAGGAAGGUCCCCCACAUUGGAACUGAGACACGGUCCAAACUCCUACGGGAGGCAGCAGUGAGGAAUAUUGGUCAAUGGACGAGAGUCUGAACCAGCCAAGUAGCGUGAAGGAUGAAGGUUCUAUGGAUUGUAAACUUCUUUUAUACGGGAAUAAACGGAUCCACGUGUGGAUUUUUGCAUGUACCGUAUGAAUAAGGAUCGGCUAACUCCGUG
rnacentral:rRNA from 1 species